rnacentral:lncRNA from 1 species
UCUAUUUCCGUAUCUAGCACCCUUAUACCUUAAUUAGCAUUUGGGAUGUCACAAAUGGUAUUAGAACAGUUACAUGGAUAAUCCUUUAUAACUGAGGUUGUAGGUAGAAAACCCCUCUAGGACUCUUAGGAAGUAUGUCAUCAUUCAAAAACUAGACCACUAACUCGCAUCUUCCUUUUCUUUUGUAAGAAUGACAAGAGGAAAACCUUUUAUAGAGUGUACCGAAAGACUCGAGGCCUAGGAUUAUCUUAUUAGGGCUGAGUUUAU